UACGUAGGGUGCGAGCGUUAAUCGGAAUUACUGGGCGUAAAGCGAGCGCAGACGGUUAUUUAAGCAGGAUGUGAAAUCCCCGGGCUUAACCUGGGAACUGCGUUCUGAACUGGAUAGCUAGAGUGUGUCAGAGGGGGGUAGAAUUCCACGUGUAGCAGUGAAAUGCGUAGAGAUGUGGAGGAAUACCGAUGGCGAAGGCAGCCCCCUGGGAUAACACUGACGUUCAUGCUCGAAAGCGUGGGUAGCAAACAGG
rnacentral:rRNA from 1 species